GAUGAACGCUGGCGGCGUGCCUAAUACAUGCAAGUCGAACGCACAGCGAAAGGUACUUGCACCUUUCAAGUGAGUGGCGAACGGGUGAGUAACACGUGGACAACCUGCCUCAAGGCUGGGGAUAACAUUUGGAAACAGAUGCUAAUACCGAAUAAAACUUAGUGUCGCAUGACACAAAAGUUAAAAGGCGCUUCGGCGUCACCUAGAGAUGGAUCCCGCGGUGCAUUAGUUAGUUGGUGGGUAAAGGCCUACAAGACAAUGAUGCAUAGCCGAGUUGAGAGACUG
rnacentral:rRNA from 1 species